rnacentral:lncRNA from 1 species
GGGCAACAAAAUUCAAUACAAAAAACAUACCAAAACUCCAGUAAAGCAGCACAUUGGGGAAAACCACCACAAAAUAUCGCAGUGACUGCGUCCUAGCUACAUGCAGCGGUGCAGCUUAUGAGUGCCACACACAACUACACAUUGUCAUAGCAGUGCAACACCUUUUCGAGCCGUGUGUAGUAACUGUCGAAGGCCACUUCUCUCAAACGCGGCGCGCUGCA